GAUGAACGCUGGCGGCGUGCUUAACACAUGCAAGUCGAACGGAAAGGCCCUGCUUUUGUGGGGUGCUCGAGUGGCGAACGGGUGAGUAACACGUGAGUAACCUGCCCUUGACUUUGGGAUAACUUCAGGAAACUGGGGCUAAUACCGGAUAGGAGCUCCUGCUGCAUGGUGGGGGUUGGAAAGUUUCGGCGGUUGGGGAUGGGCUCGCGGCUUAUCAGCUUGUUGGUGGGGUAGUGGCUUACCAAGGCUUUGACGGGUAGCCGGCCUGAGAGGGUGACCGGCCACAUUGGGACUGAGAUACGGCCCAGACUCCUACGGGAGGCAGCAGUGGGGAAUAUUGCACAAUGGGCGGAAGCCUGAUGCAGCAACGCCGCGUGCGGGAUGACGGCCUUCGGGUUGUAAACCGCUUUCGCCUGUGACGAAGCGUGAGUGACGGUAAUGGGUAAAGAAGCACCGGCUAACUACGUG
rnacentral:rRNA from 1 species